ACUCCUACGGGAGGCAGCAGUGGGGAAUAUUGCGCAAUGGGGGAAACCCUGACGCAGCGACGCCGCGUGAGCGAAGAAGGCCUUAGGGUUGUAAAGCUCUGUUUUAAGGGACGAAUGUCGUGGGGAGUAAUAUGCUCUGCGAAUGACGGUACCUUAAGAGGAAGCCCCGGCUAACUACGUGCCAGCAGCCGCGGUAAGACGUAGGGGGCGAGCGUUGUCCGGAAUUACUGGGCGUAAAGAGCACGUAGGCGGGAACUUAAGUCAGGUGUGAAAGACCGGGGCUCAACUCCGGGGUUGCACUUGAAACUGGGUUUCUUGAGGGCAGGAGAGGAAAGCAGAAUUCCUGGUGUAGCGGUGAAAUGCGUAGAAAUCAGGAGGAAUACCAGUGGCGAAGGCGGCUUUCUGGACUGACCCUGACGCUGAGGUGCGAAAGCGUGGGUAGCAAACAGGAUUAGAUACCCUGGUAGUCCACGCCGUAAACGAUGGAUACUAGGUGUGGGAGGUAUCGACCCCUUCCGUGCCGUAGCUAACGCAAUAAGUAUCCCGCCUGGGGAGUACGGUCGCAAGGCUGAAACUCAAAUGAAUUGACGG
rnacentral:rRNA from 1 species